CGCCAUCCUCUCCCCUUCCCUCACCUCCCCCCCGAUGCCAACUGCGGCAGUCGUGCGUGUGCUACAUGUGCAACUGACGGUCGUGCGUGCUGCUGGCGGACAUGGAGGAGUCCGCGCAGCCCAAGCCCGCCGACCCCUCGGAACCGGAGCUCUCCUCGGACCCUCCCAAGGGCGCGGGGACGAACGCGGACGGCUGGCGUCCUCUUCGUGCGACAUGCGGUGCUGGCGGCGGGGUCUGGCUAGCGAUGUCGAGAUCCGCAGGUGAAUCGGCGACUGGUGAAUCGACCCGUCCCCGCGGCGAGCCAUGAGUUAUAUUUCGUGUAUGGAGUGUGAAUGGAACUGAUGGGAGGUGGAGCCCUGUACGGAUCCGCUGUCCCUGCACACACCAUCAAGUCACGACCAAGAGACAGAGAAAGCAUAGGUUGCUCGGGUGCAUGCUAGAGGCUAGAGCUGCAGGAGGUUCAGUUACAUGCUA